rnacentral:rRNA from 1 species
AUUGAACGCUGGCGGCAGGCCUAACACAUGCAAGUCGAACGGUAACAGGAAGAAGCUUGCUUCUUUGCUGACGAGUGGCGGACGGGUGAGUAAUGUCUGGGAAACUGCCUGAUGGAGGGGGAUAACUACUGGAAACGGUAGCUAAUACCGCAUAACGUCGCAAGACCAAAAAGGGGGACCUUCGGGCCUCUUGCCAUCGGAUGUGCCCAGAUGGGAUUAGCUAGUAGGUGGGGUAACGGCUCACCUAGGCGACGAUCCCUAGCUGGUCUGAGAGGAUGACCAGCCACACUGGAACUGAGACACGGUCCAGACUCCUACGGGAGGCAGCAAUGGGGAAUAUUGCACAAAGGGCGCAAGCCUGAUGCAGCCAUGCCGCGUGUAUGAAGAAGGCCUUCGGGUUGUAAAGUACUUUCAGCGGGGAGGAAGGGAGUAAAGUUAAUACCUUUGCUCAUUGACGUUACCCGCAGAAGAAGCACCGGCUAACUCCGUG